rnacentral:rRNA from 1 species
UACGAAGGGGGCUAGCGUUGCUCGGAAUCACUGGGCGUAAAGGGUGCGUAGGCGGGUUUUUAAGUCAGGGGUGAAAUCCUGGAGCUCAACUCCAGAACUGCCUUUGAUACUGAAGAUCUUGAGUCCGGGAGAGGUGAGUGGAACUGCGAGUGUAGAGGUGAAAUUCGUAGAUAUUCGCAAGAACACCAGUGGCGAAGGCGGCUCACUGGCCCGGUACUGACGCUGAGGCACGAAAGCGUGG